UACGUAGGGUGCAAGCGUUGUCCGGAUUUAUUGGGCGUAAAGAGCUCGUAGGCGGUCUGUCGCGUCGGAUGUGAAAACCCAGGGCUCAACCCUGGGCCUGCAUUCGAUACGGGCAGACUAGAGUGUGGCAGGGGAGACUGGAAUUCCUGGUGUAGCGGUGAAAUGCGCAGAUAUCAGGAGGAACACCGGUGGCGAAAGCGGCUCACUGGACCAUUACUGACGCUGAGGCACGAAGCUAGGGGAGCAAACAGG
rnacentral:rRNA from 1 species